rnacentral:rRNA from 1 species
GACGAACGCUGGCGGCGUGCUUAACACAUGCAAGUCGAACGGUAAGGCCCUUCGGGGUACACGAGUGGCGAACGGGUGAGUAACACGUGGGUGAUCUGCCCUGCACUUUGGGAUAAGCCUGGGAAACUGGGUCUAAUACCGGCUAGGAACAUGCGCUUCACGGUGUGUGGUGGAAAGCUUUUGCGGUGUGGGAUGGGCCCGGGGCCUAUCAGCUUGUUGGUGGGGUAAUGGCCUACCAAGGCGACGACGGGUAGCCGGCCUGAGAGGGUGACCGGCCACACUGGGACUGAGAUACGGCCCAGACUCCUACGGGAGGCAGCAGUGGGGAAUAUUGCACAAUGGGCGCAAGCCUGAUGCAGCGACGCCGCGUGAGGGAUGACGGCCUUCGGGUUGUAAACCUCUUUCAGUAGGGACGAAGCGCAAGUGACGGUACCUACAGAAGAAGGACCGGCCAACUACGUGCCAGCCGCCGCAGUAA